rnacentral:rRNA from 1 species
CAGUAGCCACGGUAAUACAGAGGGUGCGAGCGUUAAUCGGAUUUACUGGGCGUAAAGCGUGCGUAGGCGGCUUUUUAAGUCGGAUGUGAAAUCCCUGAGCUUAACUUAGGAAUUGCAUUCGAUACUGGGAAGCUAGAGUAUGGGAGAGGAUGGUAGAAUUCCAGGUGUAGCGGUGAAAUGCGUAGAGAUCUGGAGGAAUACCGAUGGCGAAGGCAGCCAUCUGGCCUAAUACUGACGCUGAGGUACGAAAGCAUGGGGAGCAAACAGGAUUAGAUACCCCAGUAGUCCCUGUCUCUUAUAU